GUUAAUGCGUGAUUUGGUUAGAAGAGAGGGAGAGGUUGACAAACCCGAUCGUCUUCGUUCUAUCUUCUCCGCCAAUAAAUGUUGCGGAAAAUUUUAUUAGGUUUCAAGUCGUGCGAUUUGUUUUGAGCAAUUUGUGCAGGCAAUGAUUUCGUCAAUAAGAAAGGAUGCUGCGGAUCUUUCGAUCGUCAUAGGGAUCGGCUCAGGAUAUGCCUUCAAAUACCGUUACUACAUUAACCUUCACGACGACCAUGUUCCGGACAUAAAUGGGGACGACACUGGAGCAUUUCUUUGCCUGUUUCAGCUGGGCAAUAUGUACGUGAUGCAUUGCGCUCGUUCAUGUUUUUAUUGCAUCUAACACUAUCGCACUGAGCGGCCGGGAUGGGCCUCCGGCUCGAAGGGAACAAUCGACACCAACAGGAGAUUGACUACACUGUGUGAACCAUCCUGUCCAGUGCAACCAGGCAACACAACAUUCCUCUUCAGCAACAGCACCAUCAUAAUCCGGGCUAGCAGCAACCAUUGCUGUCGGGAGACUAAAAGAUGCAAAAUUGAUCUUAAAUAAAAGCAAACAAAUUUGUGUAGAAUGAUGAUUGAUCAAA